GGACCAGUAUGUUGGUCGUGCUUCGGUACGUACUGUCAUUACUGGUUUCUCCCUUCUGAAGAACCUUGAUGUCAUUAAUUUGGUGUCUUGGGGAAUCAGGACUGUUACUUUGAAAAAAUUAGAGUGUUCAAAACAGGCAUUUUGCUCGAAUACAUUAGCAUGGAAUAACGGAAUAGGACUUUGUUUCUAUUUUGUUGGUUUCUAGGAUCGACGUAAUGAUUAAUAGGGAUAGUUG
rnacentral:rRNA from 1 species